CUACUACUCCCUCCGUCCCAAAAUUCGUGUCUUAGAUUUGUCUAAAUACGGAUGUACCUAAUACUAAAACGUGAUUUGAUACAUUCAUAUCUAGAUAAAUCUAAGAUAAGAAUUUUGGGACGGAGGAAGUACUAC
rfam:Triticum aestivum genome assembly, contig: Triticum_aestivum_CS42_TGACv1_scaffold_032768_1BL